rnacentral:misc_RNA from 1 species
GAUGAAGAACGUAGCGAAAUGCGAUACGUAAUGUGAAUUGCAGAAUUCAGUGAAUCAUCGAAUCUUUGAACGCACAUUGCGCCCGCCAGCACUCUGGCGGGCAUGCCUGUUCGAGCGUCAUUUCAACCAUCAAGCCCCAGGCUUGCGUUGGAGCCCUGCGGCUGCCGCGGCCUCCUAAAAGCAGUGGCGGGCUCGCUAUCACACCGAGUGCAGUAGAUUACUCUUCGCUCAGGGCGUGCAGCGGGUUCCGGCCGUGAAACCCCCUACUUUUAAAGGUUGGCCUCGGAUCAGGUAGGAAUACCCGCUGAACUUAAGCAUAUCAAUAAGCGGAGGA